rnacentral:tRNA from 1 species
GGGCCAGUAGCUCAAUUGGUAGAGCAGCGGACUCUUAAUCCGGAGGCUCAGGGUUCGAGUCCCUGCUGGCCCA